rnacentral:lncRNA from 1 species
ACCAAAAUCCGGAAAAAUCGUCUUUAAGAGUCGUCUACUUUUAUAACUCGAUAUAAUGGAAAUACAUUUUUUUAGGUCCUUGUUACACUGAGGUUUUAUGCUACAGGCAGUUACCAAGAAAUAACUGGUAGUAAUAUAUUUACUGCCAUUAGCCAGCCUUGUGUGUCUCGGUGCAUUACAGAAGUGACUGAUUCUCUAAAUCAACCCAAUAUUUUCAAUGAUUGGGUGAAGUUUCCAGAAACUAUACAAGAGAUGGAAUCUUUACGUCGAAGUUUCCAGGUGUCAUUGGUUUAGCAGAUUGCACGCACGUUGCUAUAGCGGCUCCAACGGGGAACGAAUAUCCGGAACAUAUUUAUGUGAAUAGGAAGCAUUAUCAUUCAAUCAAUGUUCAGUUGAUCUGCAAUGAAAAACUGGAAAUAAUGAAUGUUGAUGGACGUUUCCAAGGAAGCUGCCAUUAUAUGCAUAUCUGGAAGCAGAAUAGAGUAGCCGGAAUUGUAGAAAGUGUCUACAGGCAAAACACAAGCAACGUGUUUUAUCUU